GUGUCAGCCGCCGCGGUAAUACAGAGGGUGCGAGCGUUAAUCGGAAUUACUGGGCGUAAAGCGUGCGUAGACGGUUUCGUAAGUCGGGUGUGAAAUCCCCGGGCUCAACCUGGGAAUUGCAUUCGAAACUGCGAGGCUAGGGUACGGAAGAGGGAAGCGGAAUUUCUGGUGUAGCGGUGAAAUGCGUAGAUAUCAGAAGGAACAUCAGUGGCGAAAGCGGCUUCCUGGUCCAGUACCGACGUUCAGGCACGAAAGCGUGGGGAGCAAACAGGAUUAGAUACCCUGGUAGUCCACGCCUUAAACGAUGAGAACUAGACGUUGAGAGGGUUAGCCUCCCAGUGUCGCAGCUAACGCGCUAAGUUCUCCGCCUGGGGAGUACGGCCGCAAGGUUGAA
rnacentral:rRNA from 1 species